CCACUCACUGACCUACUGCCACUUCCUGAAACUAAAAAAUUCCUUUAACCAAACCCAAACUAAAACCAAAAAUAUUCAAGCAAUAAGGAUAAAUGGAAAAAAAUUGCAGCAGUAAUAUUAAUCCCUGUGUUAACUUUAAUCAUCUCUUUUCUCAUCUGAAACAAGUCUCACAACAUUUAUGAUAGCAUUUUUUUUUGCUGCAUUAUAUUUACAACAGAGUGUUGUAUUUAUCUACAGAAUCUCUGCAGUAAGGAGAUGCUGGUUCUGAACUCACAUCCAAGUGACUCUAAUUGCUUGAAAAGCAGACUCACCAUCAGGAGCCAGAGUAGGAGCAGGAGUAGCAGGAGCAGGAGCAGGAGCAGGAGGAGCAGGAGCAGGAGCAGGAGCAGGAGCAGGAGCAGGAGCAGGAGCAGGAGCAGGAGCAGGAGCAGGAGCAGGAGAAGGAGCAGGAGCAGGAGCAGGAGCAGGAGCAGGAGCAGGAGCAGGAGGAGUAAUGGCUGCUUGGGGUGAAACACGAGGCUGCAAAAUAUCUGUUCAGUGAAAGUAAGUAUUAAGACACAAGGAAGUGCACCGAACAAAAAUGGUUAUGGUUGAAAGGAAAGGCUAUUACAAAAUGAUAAUGGUUUAAAACAGAAUGGAAAAAAAAGGAUUCUAUUAAAAAAAAAUAAUUAAAACUAAAAAGAAAGCAAUUAAAAGAAGUACUAAAAAAAAAUCAAAAAGCAAAUACCCAAAAAACCACACACCUCAACCACGCCCUAAAACCAAAGAAUUCAAAGCAACCAGACAUCCCAACCCAAACUAAAUCCAAAGAAAGAAAAAAAGAAAAGGGGACUAAUAGAAAACACCAUUAAAAUGGUAAUUUUAAUCCCACUGUUACCUUCAUCAACCACUUUCUCUUCUGAAAAACGUCUCAGGACAUUUCUCUUAGCAUCAGUUUUAUUGCUCCUUUAUCUUCACAAUUAGGUAUUGUUGUAUUUGCCUGCAGAACCUGUGCAGCAUGACGAGCGAUGCUGGCUCUGAACUCAUAUCCAAGUGACUCAAAUGCU
rnacentral:lncRNA from 1 species